GGAGAGAUGGCUGAGUGGCCGAAAGCACAGGUUUGCUAAACCUGCGACGGGCAACUGUCCGAGGGUUCGAAUCCCUCUCUCUCCGCCA
rnacentral:tRNA from 1 species